CCAGAUCCUUUAUGAAACUGCACUUCCCCAACGAAUCAUCCUCAGGCGAGUUUCCACAUCGGACGAAUCCCAGACGAACUUCUCUAGCAAUCGGAUUCCUAUCGGGCUUCACCAACGGAAAGUCUCUGUCCGAGCUUCUACAGCAGGUGACCCCCACCUGUAGUAUCAGCGCCUAAGGUACCCGACAACAGUAGACUCGUCAGUAGCUUCAAGGACAUCCGAGCUUCUCCUAGACCAACAAUAGAGAGCCAUCCCACUCCAUUAGAUAUCCC
rnacentral:lncRNA from 1 species